AUUGAACGCUGCGGCAGGCCUAACACAUGCAAGUCGAACGGUAACAGGGAGCAGCUUGCUGCUCUGCUGACGAGUGGCGGACGGGUGAGUAAUGUCUGGGAAACUGCCUGAUGGAGGGGGAUAACUACUGGAAACGGUAGCUAAUACCGCAUAACGUCUACGGACCAAAGUGGGGGACCUUCGGGCCUCAUGCCAUCAGAUGUGCCCAGAUGGGAUUAGCUAGUAGGUGGGGUAACGGCUCACCUAGGCGACGAUCCCUAGCUGGUCUGAGAGGAUGACCAGCCACACUGGAACUGAGACACGGUCCAGACUCCUACGGGAGGCAGCAGUGGGGAAUAUUGCACAAUGGGCGCAAGCCUGAUGCAGCCAUGCCGCGUGUAUGAAGAAGGCCUUCGGGUUGUAAAGUACUUUCAGCGGGGAGGAAGGUGUUGUGGUUAAUAACCGCAGCAAUUGACGUUACCCGCAGAAGAAGCACUGGCUAACUCCGUGCCAGCAGCCG
rnacentral:rRNA from 1 species